UGCAGUGUCACCAAAAAAAAAAAAAAAAAAAAGAUUGAAUCUACACAUUUCAGGAAUACCAGAGGAAAGGCAACUCUUCUCCCUUUCUUCCCUCCCCUCACUUGGAUCAAUGCUGAAUCUAUUCCCCAGCGUUUCCAGGCUUCCCACUCUCUCAGUUAGAGAGAAAGUCAGUAAUUUCUGUCCAUUCAAGCCCAAAUACAUGCUAUAUAAUUAUGACAAUUGGUUCCUCUCAGUCUAAAUCUAUGUAAUCUUUCUUGUGAACAGUUUAUUUCACCUGUGCUCUUUUAUUCCAUUGUGAGGCUAUGUGUUCACAACGUUUGUGUUUAAAGGGGGACCUUGCAGUGGUUUCUGAGCUAAUUGUGCAAUUUCUGACUCCUUUUUCUGAUAUGACUUGCCUGUUUCCCUGGGUUUGGCAAGAUGAACAUUCAACUCUGACUAAAGAGUUUUCCCUCCGUCAGAGUAGUGGUUCAGCAACGAUGAAGAGGAACAGUUGUAUGUGAAAGUCAUGUUUGUAAGCCACAAGAGUUUACUGAAAGAUGAAAUUGUCAUGCAAAGGCUGCCUGUGAGCCAACAGCAUUGCUCUGCUAGCAACUCAAGUAUAACCAAGUAUGUGCAUUUAAUGAAAAAUGGCUCAUGAAAGGAUUACAAAGCAAAUCUCAAUCUCAUUAGAAACCUGUGUGGUGAUAUCAGCACAUGCUCUGGUAUAUCAUUCUGCAGUAAACAUGCUAUAUUGUAAA